UACGAAGGGGGCUAGCGUUGCUCGGAAUUACUGGGCGUAAAGGGAGCGUAGGCGGAUAGUUUAGUCAGAGGUGAAAGCCCCGGGCUUAACCUGGGAAUGGCCGUUGAAACUGGCGAACUGGAGUGUGGCAGAGGGGGGUGGAAUUCCGCGUGUAGCAGUGAAAUGCGUAGAGAUGCGGAGGAACACCGAUGGCGAAGGCAGCCCCCUGGGCUAACACUGACGCUCAGGCACGAAAGCGUGGGGAGCAAACAGG
rnacentral:rRNA from 1 species